UAGCCUAAUGGUUAAGGCAAUGGAUCGCCAAUCCGGAGACGGCGGGUUCGAUUCCCGU
rnacentral:tRNA from 1 species